rnacentral:rRNA from 1 species
UACAGAGGGGGCAAGCGUUGUUCGGAAUUACUGGGCGUAAGGGGCGCGUAGGCGGUUGCCUAAGUCGGACGUGAAAUCCCCAAGCUUAACUUGGGAACUGCAUCUGAUACUGGGUGACUUGAGUUCGGGAGAGGAAUGUGGAAUUCCAGGUGUAGCGGUGAAAUGCGUAGAUAUCUGGAGGAACACCGGUGGCGAAGGCGGCAUUCUGGACCGAAACUGACGCUGAGGCGCGAAAGCCAGGGGAGCAAACGGG